rnacentral:lncRNA from 1 species
GGGCCUGGGCACCAGAGGCCACGACAGGCGGCCACCGCCCCAGGCCACUAAGGACCCUGAACCUGGAGGUCAGAGUCAGGACGUGAGGGUCAGGGAACACGCACUUGCAUCCCCGCCCCCUGUUCACGGCCGUGUGGCCUGGAGCCCCGUCACCAGCUCCCUCCCUGGACGGGGGACAGGCCUCACGCAGGGAUCACUGUGCAUCUGGGCUCCUUGAUCCGAAGCACCCAGACCCGGGCCCGCCCUCAGUGGCGCAUCGCUCUCCUGGGGAAAACAGGCAAAAAUAAACAGACUGAAAAGGAAGUAGGCGCAAACCCAGUGCGGGGCGGCGGGAGGUGAUGAAUCUCGCCUCUCCCGGUCUGGAGUUAAUGAGGAGCCUGAGUCAGGAGGCAGAUGGGACCGACCCAUCCGCUGUGCUGCUGGAAAUGAGAAGCUGCUGGAGACGUUCUGACUCAGAACCAGAUGGCCCCUGCUCCAUCCCCUGCAUUCAAGAUGGAAGUGAAGGACCUUGAGAUGAGACGCCCUGGAUGCAGGUGAGACUCAGCACCAGUGAUAAGUGUCCUUGUGGAAAGAGGGAAGGCCCCAUGAAAGCAGAGUCAGGGACGGCAGCUACAGGCGGCUCUGAGCCCCCGUUCCCAGCGGUUUGUUGCAGCAGCUUCGGAUGCUCCAUGGAUACCAAGGCACGCGAGGGAAGCAAACCUACCAGCACAGUCGAACUUGCCUCGGCGCCAACACAGCUUAACCUUCAGGGCCCCUCACUUGCGAAGACCCCCUUCUGCAGCCCAGUUCCUGUUUGCGUAUUCCUUUUGUCAAAGGGGCCCCCUCCGCAGAUGGGAAAAGUAUUGGGUCCCACACACUCUGGCUCCCUCCCUGUUGCCACCAGGGUACAGCACACAGCCUGCAGUAUAGACGCUUCCGUGGGUUUUCUGUCAUCUGAACAUCCACCCAGCCAGUCCUCCGUGUCUUCAGCCAAGCUGGAUUAUCGAGUCCCUGCUGUCUCGGGAUGUAACUUGGAAAGAGAACCAGAGACAAUUUGGAGGCAAAGUAAAUGGGCUGCAGCAAGAUGCGCAUGAAGAAAGAGAGAGGCUGAGAGGGGAACCUGAGCAGAGAAUGGUUGUUCUACCUGGAAAUCAUGACAGCCCCACCAAGGAGAUGACCUCCAGUCUGGGCUUUUAAGGAUGGGUAGGAGUUCACCAGGAGACAAGGGGGAGGGCAGCUUAGGCCGGGGGCACUGUGCGGGCAAAGGUGUGGGACAGCCCCUGGCCCUGGGGCAGCAGUGUGCGACAGCCUGCCUGGCCCAUGGGGCCUGCAGGAUGAAGAGAGAGGGAAGGGCCGGGGCUGGGCCUGGAGUCCUGGGGCAGGGAGAAGUAACAGGUGUGAGGUCCCAAAAGUGGCAGCUUAAAAUGAGAAGAAUCUCCUUCCUCUGAAGGCUGGGGCAGGGGGUGGGGGUGAGGUGUUUCCAGGCCCCUUCCAGCUGCUGGCUGUUGUGGCAGUUCCAUUGUCCAGCCCCUUGCAGCUGCACCCUCCAGUCUCUGCCUCCCUCAUUACAGGACCUUCUCCCUGUGUCUCUCUGGGUCCCUUCGCCUUUUUUUUUUUUUCCAGCUGCACCCACACCAGGCAGAAGUUCCCAAGCCAGGGGUCGAAUGCGCUCCACAUCUGUAAGUAACCAGAGCCACUGCAGUGACAACGCCAGAUCCUUAACCCACUGAGCCACCAGGGAACUCCCCUUCUCCUCUUCUUAUGAGGACACCAGCCAUAGUAGAGACGUUACUAAUCAGGUAAUUCAAUUACAUCUGCAAGGACACCAGAGUAUUUCCAAGUAAGGUCACGUACACAGGGGCCUGGGCUCAGGGCUUCAAUGACCUUUCUGGGGACACAGUUCAACCCACAACAGGGAGGAGGAACCACAGGACUUGGUACUGAUUAGAUGGACCUUAUGGCCUGAAUGGUCUACACGGCCUCCCUCCCACGGCACAUGUUGAAAUCCUGAUAGCCUUGUGACCGCGUCGGAGACAGGGCCUUUAGGAGGUGAGGACCGCGGCUGUCUGCAAGCCAGGAAGAGAGCUCUCAGCAGAAACCUCGUGCUGCCAAAACCUUGAUGUUCCAGCCUCCAGAACCAUGAGAAGAAAGUUUCUGUCCUUAAGCCCCCAGUGUGCGGCAUUUUAUCACGGCAGGCUGAGCUAAGACAAUGGGGUUGGGGCUGGAUGAGCAGGCAGCAGAGCGGAACUGAGGAGGAAUUCCCCAGGCUCGGAGGAAGCUCUGACCCACAGGUGCUGGGUCCCGAUGGCCCGGCCAGGAGCUGAGGUUUUAGGGAGGAACUGGACUCGGCCCAAGGCUUCCAGGAGCUGCAGGUCAGGCAGGGAGUCAGGAAGGGGCCCAGGCCUGCCAGGUACAAUGAUGCAGGUGGUGGCUCAGGGACAAGGGGCCAGGACAAUCGAAGCGGCCCCAAGGGGCAGGGAGGCCCCAGGAAGGGGCCAUCAGAACAGUCAAGAACCCGGUCGUUGGCACUUCCUCCGGCCUAACUACUCAGCGUUGUCUCUGCAGCAGCUCUGGAUCAGUCCCUGGCCUUGGAACUUCCACAUGUCGAGGGUGCAGCCAAACACUUUAAAAAAAGAACUCUUGCCUGCUCUGACUGAUGGCUCCCAGGCCAGGGAUCAGAUACGAGCUGCAGCUGCAACCUGCGCUGCAGCUGCAGCAACGCUGGAUCCUUCAACCCACCAUUCAUUCUUAUGCCGCUUAAAUGUCACCUCCACUACGUGCAGAAGCUCGAUGGACUUGAGCACAUAGAUCGGGCAACAUUUGGGGGGUUUGGCCUCACAGAUGGUCGGCUCUCUGGGUUGGCAAGUUCCUGCCUGGCUUCCUUUGCUGUUGUCACGGAGUUGCCGUUGCCAUGGCGUCUGUGUGUGCACAGGGGACCAUCACGCAUCUCCUCAGCUUCGGGAGCACGCAUCCAGAGCCUGGGAAGACUGCGGAGAGAGAAGAAGGAGGCGUGGCGUGUGGGAGGGAGUCCACCUGGGCGCCUAGUGUUGACGGAGCCGAGAAAAGAGGGGUGGUACUGUGCCGCCCCUGAACCAGAAGGGAGGGAUGGAGGCAGAGGUGCCUGCAGGGCCUGCCGGGCCCUCAGCUGUAGAGGCCCAGGGAGGGGGGGUCAACCGAGGGUCUUCUAUCUGGCCUUCUGCUGCCCCUCCUUCGCAACCACUUCCUGCCACUGUCCCAAAGUCACGGCAAAUGCAGCCCAGGAGUGAAAUACUGCCGAUUUAAUCUGUGCCUCUGAUAAAUAAAUGAACAAGUGU